CGUGCUCAUUCUCAUUUUCUCUGUCCUCGGAGCCAGUGAGAGGCAGAGAGGGGCAGGGUGGGAUGGAGAGGUGUGCUCGGAUGCUUGCUGCAGGAGGAUGUUGCGCACUUCGUUUUUGUACCUCAGGAGUGAGUGGUCCGCGCAUCCAUGGGGCUCCUGCGUGAUGACUUGAUUUAUGAGGUAGAUGUAUUGUUAUUGCCUUGAUAGAUUUGUGUGUGUGUGUGUGUGUUAGUAGUCGUGUAGGCUUGAAUGUAAUUGAUCUAGCUUUGAUAUUCUCCAGAUUUAAAAUGAAAAGUAGCAGGAGGUCAGAUUUGAUUAAAAGUUACAGAGGAGGGGAGAAUACUUCAAACUAGCACUUUAAGGGAAAAAAGCAAAUUAGUUGAUGAGGACAACUUUAUAUUUUUGUUACUUUUUAAACAGAUUUAAAGCCUGUUACAGGCCUCUGACUUUGUAUUUUGUUGCCGUCGCACCUGUCAGAGGGUGUCAUGCUGUGUACCAUCUCCAUUUAGACAUACUGUAUUUAAAUCGUACCAUGUGAAAAGAAAUGUAAAAUCAGCCUCAACUUCAUUCAGUAGCCUUUUUCUGCAUAUAGGCCUAAAAUUAAAAUUAUGUAAGAUUGUUUUUCCCCAUCAUCCAUUCACUCCCAUGAGUUUAUCCUUCCAAUUACCUCUUAUUGAUUCUGUAAAGGCUAUUUUUUGUUGUUGUCUUUGAACCUAUAGUGUGUUGGCCCGCUGUGCCAGUGCCUUGACUCAGCUCCAUCCAUCCAGAGGUUUCUAUGUCAUACGCACUUUUUAUUCCUGAUGUAAACAAACCUCCAGGAGCAAUACUCCAAUUUCGACACCAGAUGGCGUAUUUCUGCAAAGAAUGGCUCGCCGCAUCCAUCUGUCGUGGUCGGGUAAAAAUGGACUGACAUCUCUUGACGUCAAAACUCCACUGGCUGCAGUCGCCUGGCCGAUUGCUUUUGCCGACUGCUUCAGAGGCACAAGGAAAUCCAGGUAUUACUUUCAACUUCUCUGAGAGGUAAGAGGCGACACUCUUCACCGUGAACACAGGCAGCAACAUCCCGGACAAACGCUUGCAGCAAUUCAAUGUUUAUAUCAAUUACUUCCAAAAGAAUCUGCACUGAAUAACAGAUGCCUGGCUGCACAUUUGCAUUAUUUAAUGGCCGGUAGUCAGCAGUCAUAUGCGUAUGUAAGGGUUUCAGCAUUAUGAGACCUUCCAGAGACGAGAACCAUCUCAGAAAAUAUAACAGUUUCAGUUACAGUGAGCCUUAAAGAAUAAAUAAAGGUGUUUCUGAAGCGAAAAACCAAAGGCUUUAUUAUAUUCAAACAAACGUAAUAUAUUAAUAAGCAAAUGUACAUGUAUGGUGACCAGUAUACCGCUGCAACUCUAUUAUUCACAAGUUUAUAACUGCUUAAUAUCAGAGUGUUAUAUCUGUUCAAAGGACUCACUCCUCUGGCUUGUCCAACACUGCGAUGCCAGAAACUGCUGAGCUGAGUGGAAACAUUUCAGUUCACUUUUCUCAAUGUUUGACAUGUCUCAAAAUAAUGCCUGGGAUUUUCUCAGGACCUGCCGAGGAUAAAGCUGUCCGAGACCUCCUUUUCAUCACGGCGUGCGUGGUGCUGGAACACAUGCUGACAUCAGAGAGAGAGAGCCUGUUUGCAUUCUUGCGAGCCGUAGCUGCGACACAGCAGCUCCGUUGUCUGAUUUACAUGACAAAUGAAGAAUCUUCUGAUCAAGUGGCCGGAGAGCAGCGAGCUGUCGUCCUCUCUAUUCUACCGAGCAGCAGCGAGGAGAGGAAUCAUCGUGGGUACAUCUGCAAAAAGGCUGCAGGGCAGCGAAUCAGAGUUCUUCCUGGGUGCGAGCAUGAGCCUAAACCAUCCCAGAGUGCAUCGUUCUGCCGGUCUCCGAGAUGCCGUCACGCUUCCCUGGAACAACGUCUCGAUCCAGUCAAAAAACAGUGUAGAGACGGAGAAAAGUCCUAAAAGUAAUUACUGUGCCUAUUACUAAUUCAUUGACAUGCAUCAGCGUAAUGGAGACCAAUGAGGCAUUGUUUAAAAAAUUAAUUGUUCCAUUUGCAAAUGGCAGAGCCUCCAGAUGAAGACUUAAUACCAUAAUGCCUCUAACAGCAGUUAAGUCUUCGAUGUCCUUCUUUAAAUAUGUAAUAUGAUACUUUCUCGGAAACCAGACCUUUUGAUAUUUUAUAUAUUUGUGUAUUUACAUUAUGCCCAAUGUUUCAAACAGCGCUUGAAUCUAAAGAACGCCAUAAUUUAAUUCAAGGUGAUGUUCCUGUUCGUUUGGUCGCCUGUUGCUGUAACUUCCAGGGAAACAUCAGGUGAUGCAUCACAGAGAGAGAGAGAGAAAGGAAGUCAGUGUGAAGAAUAUUUAAGAACAUUAACCUCGUCCAUGAACGUUUCACGCCAGAGACCCAUCAGAUGGAUUUUCACCAGCAAUGGUGGUUGUUCAGAAAAUGAAGACAGCAACUCCCAUGAUGCCACAUUACUUCCUGACAUCAUCAAAUCAGUUUUAUUUGAAUAGUUUUGAUUGAGAGACCCCUAGUGGCAGAAGUUGCGUACUGAAGGUUUAAGUCAGCUUUCCAAACUGCAAAAAUAAAGUCUAACAGUCUGAUGUGAGUAAAUGGCAUUAAAUAAAAUAGAAAAAUAGAGAUGUCUAACUGUUAAAGGGGAAGUCCACCAUUGUUACACAGUAAAUUGUGUUCGGGGAGUACUACUGCAUAUGUGGGAAAAAUAGGUAAUUAAAUGCUUUUGCUUUUUGUAUGUAAUCUGAUAAAAUCUCCUCCAGUGAUGUCACUAAUGUAGGCGCCAAUUUAUGAAAGUGAGGAAAUUUUCUGGUGAUCAAUUUUUUAAGUCUGAUCAAAGUUUCAGCAAGAGAAAGUUUUAGAAAAGAUCAUCAUCAUUGACCACAAGCUCGGACACUCAAAAUAAGCCUCACAAAAACAAAUUCUCCUGAUGAAACUUUCUGUCAAUCCAUUUCACACAAAAAUCUCAAGAAAUUAGGGGGAAAAAAAAAAAGAAAAGAAAAAAAAAGAAAUUACUGUAGAAAAAUACAUUUUCCGAAAAUGAAAGAUUAUCCUAGGACUAUUGUUUUUUUCACUCCAUUUCAGACAUGAGAAACAAUUUUUCUUCUCGUUGACACAUGAAAGAAAUUGACACAUGAAAUUUUUUAUUAUUUUUUCUGAAAUGAAAAAGCACUUUUUUGACUUGAUUUCACGUCGAUAAAAACAA